GAGUUAUUGAGUCCAGGAAAUUUCUUCACAGCUUCCACCAAUCUAGAAUUUGGCCUCUUAAAAUAAGGACAGGUCAGCGUUGAAAUGGGCAAAGGCAUAUUCCACCAGCGCAGCAAAGACAAAGACGUAGCAGAUCCAGAAGUAGACGUCCAAAGCUUUUAUGGCCGAAGCCCUGGGAAGGGAAGAACGGGCGCUCACCAUCAAGGUGGUCAUGCCUACCAGCCUGGGAUCUCCCAUCCUAUUCCUAAUCAGAUCCAGCAAUCAGGCUCUAAAAAUCCCAUGGACUAGAUUCACAGAUCAUGUGAAGUCAUGGUUUGGUUAACUCUGAUUUCUUGGGGAAACUGCCGGGCCUGGGACUCAUUCCACACGCUCAAGCCCCAAUCCGUGAUUGACAAACUACAAAGGUGAGAUUCA